GGUGCUGUAGCUCAGUUGGUUAGAGCGCUGCCCUGUCACGGCAGAGGUCGCGAGUUCGAGCCUCGUCAGCACCGCCA
rnacentral:tRNA from 1 species